rnacentral:rRNA from 1 species
GAUGGGCGGCUCUUCCACAUGCAGUCGAACGGAAAGGCCCGCUUGCGGUCCUCGAGUGGCGAACGGGUGAGUAACACGUGGGUAACCUGCCCCCAUCUCUGGGAUAACCGUUGGAAACGGCGGCUAAUACCGGAUACGACCACUAGGUGCAUGCUUGGUGGUGGAAAGUUUUUGCGGUUGGGGAGGGGCCCGCGGCCUAUCAGCUUGUUGGUGCGGUAGUGGCGCACCAGGCGAUAACGGGUAGCCGGCCUGAGAGGGCGGUCGGUCACAUUGGGACGGAGAUACGGCCCAGACUCCUACGGGAGGCGGCAGUGGGGAUUUUUGCACAAUGGGCGAAAGCCUGAUGCAGCGACGCCGCGUGAGGGAUGACGGCUUUCGGGUUGUUACCUCUUUUAUCACCAGGAAGCGGUGUAUUCGACCGUUGAGGGUAGUGGUUUAAUUAAGCCCCGGCUAAACUACGUGCCCAGCAGCCGCGGAAAGACGUAAGGGCGGCGAGCUUUGUCCCGGAAUUUUAUUGGGGCCGUAAAGGGGCUUCGUAGGCGGUUUGAUUUGCGGUCCCCCCGGUGAAAAGGCCUCCGGCUUAACCCGGGGUUUUUGCCGGGUGGAAAACGGGUCGGACUUUGGGGGAAAUUUAGGGGGAGGAUCGGGAAUUUCUACGAAGUAGCGGUGAAAUGCGUAGA